rnacentral:rRNA from 1 species
AACGAACGCUGGCGGCAGGCUUAACACAUGCAAGUCGAGCGCCCCGCAAGGGGAGCGGCAGACGGGUGAGUAACGCGUGGGAAUCUACCCAUCUCUACGGAAUAACGCAUGGAAACGUGUGCUAAUACCGUAUACGUCCUUCGGGAGAAAGAUUUAUCGGAGAUGGAUGAGCCCGCGUUGGAUUAGCUAGUUGGUGGGGUAAAGGCAUACCAAGGCGACGAUCCAUAGCUGGGCUGAGAGGAUGAGCAGACACACUGGGACUGAGACACGGCCCAGACUCCUCCGGGAGCCAGCAGUGGGGAAUAUUGUGCAAUGGGCGCAAGCCUGCGCCAGCCAUGCCGCGUGAGUGACGAAGGCCCGAGGGUUGUAAAGCUCUUUCACCGGUGAAGAUAAUGACGUUAACCGGAGAAGAAGCCCCGGCUAACUUCGUGCCAGCCGCCGCCGUAAUAC